GAGUCCAUAAAUCAAUUUUUUUUAACUAAAACAGCUGACAAUUUUGUUUUCAUUUUUCACAAUAUGAGUGAGAGCAACACUUUUUUUAUUAUCCCACUUCUCCGCUCUAAAACUGUUCUCUGUUCAGAGGCGGGAAGCCUUCCUUGUCAUGCAGCUAGAAAACACUCAAGUUCAGCACCGUGUUGAAACAAAACACGAAGUACCAAACUGAUAUAGAGCCUUUCUGCUCUUAUCUGUCUGGCCGAGUGGGCACCAUCAUGGGGCGAGCAGGCAUCAUGGGCGUGUGGCCAGCCAUGGGUGGCAUCAUCCCAGGAGGAGGGGGGCCCAUCAUUGGCAUCAUGGGAGGGCCUCCCCUGUGGGGUGCAGGCAUCAUGCCAGGGUGAGGAGGACCCGGGAGACUGGGGGAGGUGGGAUCAUGUCCCUGGCGGGAGAAGGAGCAGAGAAUGGGCUGGCGGGAUACUUCCUUGUGGAAAUGCAGCCUUUGUUUAGUCAGCCAGGCUCUGGGCCUGCUCUCCCAUCCAUUUCUGUAGUAAUCAUUCACACUUUGUGUGUUUCCCACCACUGCAGUGCGCCUCUCACGGAUAGAGAACCACAGGUAAGAUACUAUCACAGUGUGUCUCUCACUGCAGUGUGUCUCUCACGGAUAGAUACUACCACAGUGUGUCUCUCACUGCAGUGUGUCUCUCACAGAUAGAGAACCAUAGGUAAGAUACUAUCACAGUGUGUCUCUCACUGCAGUGCGUCUCUCACGGAUAGAUACUACCACAGUGUGUCUCUCACUGCAGUGUGUCUCUCACAGAUAGAUACUACCACAGUGUGUCUCUCACUGCAGUGCGCCUCUCACGGAUAGAGAACCACAGGUAAGAUACUAUCACAGUGUGUCUCUCACUGCAGUGUGCCUCUCACGGAUAGAGAACCACAGGUAAGAUACUACCACAGUGUGUCUCUCACUGCAGUGUGCCUCUCACGGAUAGAGAACCACAGGUAAGAUACUACCACAGUGUGUCUCUCACUGCAGUGUGCCUCUCACGGAUAGAGAACCACAGGUAAGAUACUAUCACAGUGUGUCUCUCACUGCAGUGUGUCUCUCACAGAUAGAUACUACCACAGUGUGUCUCUCACUGCAGUGUGUCUCUCACGGAUAGAUACUAUCACAGUGUGUCUCUCACUGCAGUGCGCCUCUCACGGAUAGAGAACCACAGGUAAGAUACUAUCACAGUGUGUCUCUCACUGCAGUGUGUCUCUCACGGAUAGAUACUACCACAGUGUGUCUCUCACUGCAGUGCGCCUCUCAUGGAUAGAGAACCACAGGUAAGAUACUACCACAGUGUGUCUCUCACUGCAGUGUGCCUCUCACGGAUAGAGAACCACAGGUAAGAUACUAUCACAGUGUGUCUCUCACUGCAGUGUGUCUCUCACAGAUAGAUACUACCACAGUGUGUCUCUCACUGCAGUGUGUCUCUCACGGAUAGAUACUAUCACAGUGUGUCUCUCACUGCAGUGCGCCUCUCACGGAUAGAGAACCACAGGUAAGAUACUACCACAGUGUGUCUCUCACUGCAGUGUGCCUCUCACGGAUAGAGAACCACAGGUAAGAUACUACCACAGUGUGUCUCUCACUGCAGUGUGCCUCUCACGGAUAGAGAACCACAGGUAAGAUACUAUCACAGUGUGUCUCUCACUGCAGUGUGUCUCUCACGGAUAGAUACUACCACAGUGUGUCUCUCACUGCAGUGCGCCUCUCAUGGAUAGAGAACCACAGGUAAGAUACUACCACAGUGUAUCUCUCACUGCAGUGUGCCUCUCACGGAUAGAUACUACCACAGUGUGUCUCUCACUGCAGUGCGUCUCUCACGGAUAGAGAACCAUAGAUGUCACAUGCUGAGCAGAAGGAAAACGUGACACGACUGGGAUUUCACUCAAGAAUGCAUCUUUAUUGAAGAAUCUGUAAGAAAAAAGGAUGGGCCCUCCAUAAAAAGAGGAGAUGUUGCCUCCAAACAGCAGGGAGGAAUGAGACCUGGGUGGCUUCCCAGAAGCCAGUGCUUCCGGCAUGACUGGCUUCCGUGGCCUGGCAAGACUACAGUGUGUCACUACAGCCAACAGUUCU